rnacentral:rRNA from 1 species
CAGUAGCCACGGGAAUACGCAGGUGGCAAGCGUUGUCCGGAAUUAUUGGGCGUAAAGCGCGCGCAGGCGGCCUAUCCAGUCUGUCUUAAAAGUUCGGGGCUCAACCCCGUGAUGGGAUGGAAACUAGUAGGCUAGAGUAUCGGAGAGGAAAGCGGAAUUCCUAGUGUAGCGGUGAAAUGCGUAGAUAUUAGGAAGAACACCAGUGGCGAAGGCGGCUUUCUGGACGAAAACUGACGCUGAGGCGCGAAAGCCAGGGGAGCGAACGGGAUUAGAUACCCCAGUAGUCCCUGUCUCUUAUACC